UUUUUUUUUAAUUUGUAUAUCUAUUGAUUUUUUUUUUUUUUAAGAUAUAACUUGGGAGUGUGUUUUUAUUUUUAUUUUUUACCAAAAUAAGCUAAGAGGUGAAUAUAACACACUAAAGUGCGAAUCUGUCAGAGUAUAAGUAUGUCAUAAAAAAUAAAAGUAUAUGUUAAAACAUAGAAGAAGAACAUGAAAUGGAUCUACAAAGUGGCCAAUAUAAUUGGGUACCUUUCGAAAAAGACAC
rnacentral:lncRNA from 1 species